rnacentral:rRNA from 1 species
CUCGUAGGCGGCCAACUAAGUCAUACGUGAAAUCCCUCAGCUUAACUGGGAACUGCGUGUGAUACUGGAUGGCUUGGAUUUGGGAGAGGGAUGCGGAAUUCCAGGUGUAGCGGUGAAAUGCGUAGAUAUCUGGAGGAACACCGGUGGCGAAGGCGGCAUCCUGGACCAAUAUUGACGCUGAGGAAGCGAAAGCAGGGGAACGACGAAACG